UACGAAGGGGGCUAGCGUUGCUCGGAAUCACUGGGCGUAAAGCGCACGUAGGCGGCUUCUUAAGUCAGGGGUGAAAUCCUGGAGCUCAACUCCAGAACUGCCUUUGAUACUGAGUAGCUUGAGUCCGGGAGAGGUGAGUGGAACUGCGAGUGUAGAGGUGAAAUUCGUAGAUAUUCGCAAGAACACCAGUGGCGAAGGCGGCUCACUGGCCCGGUACUGACGCUGAGGUGCGAAAGCGUGGGGAGCGAACAGG
rnacentral:rRNA from 1 species